UACUGCUCAGUAACACGUGGACAACCUACCCUACGGAGGGGGAUAACCCCGGGAAACUGGGGAUAAUACCCCAUAGACUAUGGAUGCUGGAAUGCUCUGUAGCCGAAAGGUCCGCCGCCGUAGGAUGGGUCUGCGGCCGAUUAGGUUGUUGUUGGGGUAACGGCCCAACAAGCCUGUAAUCGGUACGGGUUGUGGGAGCAAGAGCCCGGAGAUGGAUUCUGAGACACGAAUCCAGGCCCUACGGGGCGCAGCAGGCGCGAAAACUUUACAAUGCGGGAAACCGUGAUAAGGGAACUCUGAGUGCCCGUAAAAUCGGGCUGUCCAUCAGUUUAAAUAACUGGUGAAGAAAGGGCCGGGCAAGACCGGUGCCAGCCGCCGCGGUAAUACCGGCGGCUCGAGUGGUGGCCACUAUUACUGGGCUUAAAGCGUUCGUAGCUGGUUUGUUAAGUCUCUGGGGAAAUCUUCCGGCUCAACCGGAAGGCGUCUCAGGGAUACUGGCAGACUAGGGACCGGAAGAGGUGAGAGGUACUCCAGGGGUAGGAGUGAAAUCCUGUAAUCCUUGGGGGACCACCUGUGGCGAAGGCGUCUCACCAGAACGGCUCCGACAGUGAGGGACGAAAGCUGGGGGAGCAAACCGGAUUAGAUACCCGGGUAGUCCCAGCUGUAAACGAUGUGCGUUAGGUGUAUCGGUGACCACGAGUCACCGAGGUGCCGAAGAGAAAUCGUGAAACGUACCGCCUGGGAAGUACGGUCGCAAGGCUGAAACUUAAAGGAAUUGGCGGGGGAGCACA
rnacentral:rRNA from 1 species